UGUUUACUUGAGGCCCUGAAGUGUUUGGAAAUGAGGAGGACUCAUGCUUCUGUUGUGGUGGGUCACCUUGCUGCGGGCAGAAUAGAAAUGUGAUUGAAGCCACCAUCCUGUGGAAGAAGAUAGUGGUGGGUGGAGACCAUGAGGUGAACAGGAUUCAGUGGUCCAUGUUUACCGGUCCUUCUAUUUAGGAGGAAAUUCACAUUUAUUUAUUGACAGGCAUGAUACACCAUAGCCAAAUACUGACAUCACUCAGUUCAUUCUCAAGGGCUGGUUGUAACUCAGGUUGGUCAAUUGAAGGCUCAGGCUCCUCCACACAGCCCUCAAAGUCUCUCUCCUGUAUACAGGCAGAUCUCAGUGUCCUUAGAGAGACACUGGCCCAGGAUUUCUCUGUUAACUCCACACAGGAAAGGAUGUUGUCAUGUUCCUUCUAGAACUCUUUAAGGGUUAAAUCUGUAUCUGAGACCAUGUGGAAGCACAAGCGGCCAGCAUAGGGGUUGUAACUCAAGACUUUGGUCUUAAGUUAAAACUAAAAUUCCAAUCAUAACCCGAGUUGUUCCUAGGUCAGGCUGGUCGUAACUCAAGGGUCCACUGUACUCCAACAGUGCACAGAUCCAGGGUGCCUGCCUGGUCUGUCUUGUGCUGCAGCUUCCUGAGGGAUUAUGCUACAAACCUGGGAGCUCACAGUGUUAGUUUGCUGCUCUUCGAACUCAGGGGUGGGUGGCUGUGUGGGCCCUGGUUCUUUGUGCACACUUGCUCAAACUUCCUAGAGGGACAGAGUCCCUUCUGCACUCAUUUGAAAACUUGCCUGCCGCUCAGUGACUCACAGCCUCCUUGGUUUCCAUGGCGAUAUUCCAUUGCAGGAGCUGAUAGAUUCCAGAGAGUUGGGAGCAGGCCGCUUGAGCCGAGUGGAGUCGCUGGCCCCCGGAGUGAAGCAGCACACAGCUGCCAGCGGGUGUGAGCUCCUGCACACAGAGAUGCAGGCCCUGCGUGCCGACUGGACACAGUGGGAAGACAGUGUGUUCCGCACACAGAGCAGCCUGGAGGACCUGGUCAGUCAGAUGGCCCUUUCGGAGCAGGAGUUCUCAGGCCAAGUGGCCCAGCUUGAGCAGGCCCUGGGACAGUUCGGUGCCCUUCUGAAAACCUGGACUCAGCAGCUGGCCCUCCUGGAAGGCAAGAACACGGAUACUGAGGUAGUGGAAUCCUGGCACGCAGGACAUGAGAUCCUGGAUGCUCUGCAGAAAGCAGAGCCUACAACAGAGGAUCUGAAGUCUCAGCUGAAUGAACUUUGUCGAUUUUCUAGAGACCUGAGUACAUACAGUGGAAAAGUUUCUGGCUUGAUUAAAGAAUACAAUUAGUAAGCAUAAACUUUCCUGAUGUUAUCAAUAUUUCUUUUUAAUUGUUUUAAGAGACAGGGUCUUGCUGUGUUGUUCAGGCCGGCCUUGAACUUCCGGGGUUAAGCAGUACACCUG
rnacentral:lncRNA from 1 species